CAGUAGCCGCGGUAACACGAAGGGGGCUAGCGUUGCUCGGAUUUACUGGGUGUAAAGGGCGCGUAGGCGGAUAAUUAAGUUGGGGGUGAAAGCCCGGGGCUCAACCUCGGAAUUGCCUUCAAUACUGGUUAUCUUGAGUGUGAGAGAGGUGUGUGGAACUCCGAGUGUAGAGGUGAAAUUCGUAGAUAUUCGGAAGAACACCAGUGGCGAAGGCGACACACUGGCUCACUACUGACGCUGAGGCGCGAAAGCGUGGGGAGCAAACAGGAUUAGAUACCCCCGUAGUCCCUGUCUCUUAUAC
rnacentral:rRNA from 1 species